GCUACGGGAGGCAGCAGUGAGGAAUAUUGGUCAAUGGGCGGAAGCCUGAACCAGCCAAGUCGCGUGAGGGAUUAAGGCCCUGCGGGUCGUAAACCUCUUUUGCCGGGGAGCAGUGGUCCGGACGCGUCCGGACCGGGAGAGUACCCGGGGAAAAAGCACCGGCUAACGCCGUGCCAGCAGCCGCGGUAAUACGGAGGAUGCGGGGGUUUUCCGGGUUGAUUGGGUUAAAAGGGUGCGUAGGCGGGCAUUUAGGUCGGUGGGAAAAUGUCGGGGCUAAAACGCGGCCUGCCGUCGGAACUGGGUGCCUUGAGUGGGCGAGAAGUAUGCGGAAUGCGUGGUGUAGCGGUGAAAUGCAUAGAUAGCACGCAGAACCCCGAUUGCGAAGGCAGCAUACCGGCGCCCUACUGACGCUGAGGCACGAAAGUGCGGGUAUCGAACAGGAUUAGAUACCCUAGUAGUC
rnacentral:rRNA from 1 species